AUUGAACGCUGGCGGAAUGCUUUACACAUGCAAGUUGAACGGCAGCACGGGUGCUUGCACCUGGUGGCGAGUGGCGAACGGGUGAGUAAUAUAUCGGAACGUAUCCAAUAAUGGGGGAUAACUAGCCGAAAGGUUAGCUAAUACCGCAUACGCCCUGAGGGGGAAAGCUGGGGAUCGUAAGACCUAGCGUUGAUGGAGCGGCCGAUAUCUGAUUAGCUAGUUGGUGGGGUAAGAGCCUACCAAGGCGACGAUCAGUAGCUGGUCUGAGAGGACGACCAGCCCCACUGGAACUGAGACACGGUCCAGACUCCUACGGGAGGCAGCAGUGGGGAAUUUUGGACAAUGGGGGCAACCCUGAUUCAGCCAUUCCGCGUGAGUGAAGAAGGCCUUCGGGUUGUAAAGCUCUUUCGCAAGGGAAGAAAACUCGAUCUCUAAUAUAGGUUGAGGCUGACGGUACCUUGACAAGAAGCACCGGCUAACUACGUGCCAGCCGCCGCCGUAA
rnacentral:rRNA from 1 species